rnacentral:lncRNA from 13 species
AGAGUUCCGUGAUUCCCGAAAGAGAAAUCAGGGUGACAGAAGCCUGAUUUUAUCUAGACUGGCAAGGUGUUCAGCUAAAAUACAACAUUAACCAGGAUACUUUGAAGAUAAUGGUGGCCACAUUAUUAAAUUCUGCCAGUUAGGUCUGGUGAACUGAAAAAAGUGAUGUGUAGAAUUUCUUGGAAGGCUUCUUGAAGGGAGCCUACAAAGGUAGGAGACACAUUCCUAUCAUCUUUCCCACAUUCCUUUAUUCCUUCCCAGCUGCUUGGAAUAUGGACACUUGGCUACAUCUCCAGGAGUCAUACUAGACCAUGAACCAGCCCUGAAAUUGGGAGUUAUAUGCUAGGAUGGUGAAAAAGAAAGCUGCUACAGCACGUUAUUCUUUUUAUUUUCAGACUUCUUUUACAUAAGAGAGAAAGACUUCCAUCUUACUUAAGCCGCUAUCAUUUUAGUUUUCUAAUAAGCAGGUGAGCCCGAUACGAGAUGAUAUGGUAAUCAAGAAACUCGGUUGUAUUCAUUGUAAUAUUAUAUUCUAUGUCAAUGUCCUCCAGGCAAAGACCACCAGGAACACAACUAAACACGUUGCAGCAAGAAGAACAUACAGCAUGGGGAGCCAGGGGUGUCUCCUAAGAAUGGGCUGGACAGGACAUAAAGGAUUUGGGCUUGAGAGCUUUAAUUGACUUCAAAAGAAACUCAGCAUAAGGAGGAACUACGUGGGAUACAAAGAAAGAGCCAGACUUGGCUUUCUACAAACAUACUAUGUCCUGUCUGAGUCAUAACCAUUUUGUUGACUGUUUACUUUCCUUGUUGUCAGCACUAUAGAGCUAACACCAACAGCUUGGAAGUGAGUUACAUGCUAUUCUUAGUUUAUUACAACCAGCUCUUGAUAACUUGGUUUAUCAUCAUGUACUCUGUGGACUGCUAUCUUUUCCCUGCUAUGGCCUGGGAUGUGGCCUUGUGCUAGAGGAUCAGACUCUUUAAAAUCAGAUCUUCUAUCACAGUGUCAAAAUGUGGAUGGGGGGAUGAGAAAAGACUGUAUUAGGACUCCAAGCAAGAUUAUUUACUUAAGUUAAAACAUUUCACCAAUCUCAAGGUGGGUAUAGAAUUCUGCGACUUCUAUGGCACCUUCUAAUUCCCAUCAUCACUUUAGCCAAAAACUUCAGCUUCCUCUCUCAUAAUAUCAAAUAAUUUUAAAAAUUAGAAGGUACGAUAGAGGUCACAGAAUUCUAUACCCAUCUGGGGACUGGUCAAAUCUUUUAGCCAAAGUUAAGUAAAUAUCUCAUUUGCAGUUCUCAUAACAUCUUUUCUCAUUCUCCCAUCCAUGUUUUAACACUGUGAUAGAAGAUUUGGUUUUAAAGAGUCUAAUGCUCUAGCACAAGGCCACAUCCCAAGCCAUAGCAGAGAGAAGAUACCAGUCUCCAGAGUACAUACAGAAUCAUGAAAUAAGUAUUAAAUAAUAUAAGCAUUACUGAGUAGGGGAUAAAGACCUGACUCUUGGAGGGAAACAGUCUGGAUUCAAAUCUAGUUUUUCUACUUAUUAUGUAGAUGACUUUAAGAAGUUACUUAACCUUUGAAUACUUUGAUUUACUUGUCUACAAAAUGGGGUUUUUAGUGUGAUUCAAUGGGUUGCUGUAAAGAUUAAAAAAAUUACCCAUGUAAAACAUUGUGCUUAGCUGAUUGUAAUCACUCAUACAUUCAUUUUUUCUUGGAUGUUUUUUCUUUCUAGUUUUGGUGUGGGACUUUUUUUCACUAUUUUGGAGAACUGCAGUUUUUAAUAGUUAAAAGUAUAUCUGACUUAUGACUUAGCAAUUUCACUUAUAUGUAUUAUCAAAGAACAUGUACAUGGCUAUUCAUAACUGUCUUAUUCAUAAUUGUCCCAAACUGAAAACAACUCAAAUGUCUAUCAACAGAAGAAUGAAUAAACAAAUAUGGCGUAUUUGUAUAGUGUAGUAC